rnacentral:rRNA from 1 species
ACGAACGCUGGCGGCGUGCUUAACACAUGCAAGUCGAACGGAAAGGCCCCGCUUUUGUGGGGUGCUCGAGUGGCGAACGGGUGAGUAACACGUGAGUAACCUGCCCUUGACUUUGGGAUAACUUCAGGAAACUGGGGCUAAUACCGGAUAGGAGCUCCUGCUGCAUGGUGGGGGUUGGAAAGUUUCGGCGGUUGGGGAUGGACUCGCGGCUUAUCAGCUUGUUGGUGGGGUAGUGGCUUACCAAGGCUUUGACGGGUAGCCGGCCUGAGAGGGUGACCGGCCACAUUGGGACUGAGAUACGGCCCAGACUCCUACGGGAGGCAGCAGUGGGGAAUAUUGCACAAUGGGCGGAAGCCUGAUGCAGCAACGCCGCGUGCGGGAUGACGGCCUUCGGGUUGUAAGCCGCUUUCGCCUGUGACGAAGCGUGAGUGACGGUAAUGGGUAAAGAAGCACCGGCUAACUACGUG